AUGUCAGCUACUCUUACCCUUUUGACGGAGAUCUCCAUCUCAGUGAUGGGUGUUGGCACCUGGGAAAGAAGGAAGACCUCCCCUGCGUCCCUGUUUUCAGCCUCUUCCAGACUCUGGGUGGAAACCAUCUUUUUCCCAGCCCACCCACCCGUCCCCAGGAAGAUGACGUCAUAGGACCCGUCCUCUGCCUCCACGCGGUCCACCACGAUCUGACGCAGCUGCUGGGCCAGCUCUCACCACACAGACGCGGCCCACGCGGCUGACAGUGACACGGCCCGGGCCUCCAUCAGGUGAAGGGACUGUCUCCGAGAAGAAGAAGUACACCUUGUCAUCGUCCUGGUCGGAGUUGUCAGGGAUCCGGGUGGCCAUCACAAACCUGGGCUCUGAAGAAGAAUCUGUGGAGAGCCUUUGUCUCAUCUGAUUCAGAAGAGGCCUGUGCCAGCUGCAGCACAACAUAUCAGGUUAGAUCUGCAGAGGAACCUCCUGGGCCAGGAUGGGCAAAGAAGGGAGGCUACAAAGAGCCUCGUGGAUGGAGGGGAAGAGGAAAGGCCAGCAUUGCAAAGUGGGCUGCAAGAGGCAGGAGGGGGAACAGGGCUGGGGCAUAGGGUGAGGGACCCCACUUCAGGGCAGACGAGAGGGACAGGAUGCUGCCCUCUUCUCCACUGUCUGCCCUGGGCAAGGGGCCCAGCUGAGAGCAGACAGAUGCUCCAGACCUGCCCUCUCUGCCCCCUCCCCAUCUCUCUCUGCCCAUCUCUGCUGAGGUCUCUCUCCUUUUCUCAGCAGUCCCCUCAGUUUCUCCUCCAGUGUGUCUCUGUCUCUCCCACCUCCACCCUGGCCAUGUCUUCCAGGACCUGUCCCCCUCCCCCUGCCUUUCUCCCAGGCUCCUGCCUCUGGCGGCCAGCGGGGAGCACAUGCCAGGGAGUGACUGUAAAGUCCUUCCCACAGCCUGUGCUGGGAGUGAAUGCAUCCCUCCUGCUGUCAGAACAGACUGCCCUGGGCUGGCUGGGGUCCCAUAGCUGGGGUAUGGCAGGGUCUGGGGCUCCCAGGGACACACACACAAACAGGGU